UGGGGAAUUUUGCGCAAUGGACGAAAGUCUGACGCAGCAACGCCGCGUGAUUGAUGAAGCUUUUAGGAGUGUAAAGAUCUGUCGUGAGGGAAGAAAAAUCUGGAUGUAAAUAAUGUUCAGACGUGACGGUACCUCACAAGAAAGCACCGGCUAACUUCGUGCCAGCAGCCGCGGUAAUACGAGGGGUGCUAGCGUUGUCCGGAAUUACUGGGCGUAAAGGGUCCGUAGGCGUCUUGACAAGUUGAUCGUUAAAUCCACCGGCUCAACCGGUGACCUGCGGUCAAAACUGGCAGGAUAGAAUAUGUGAGAGGAAAGUGGAAUUCCUGGUGUAGCGGUGACAUGCGUAGAUAUCAGGAGGAACACCAAUGGCGAAGGCAGCUUUCUGGCACAAUAUUGACGCUGAGGGACGAAAGCGUGGGGAGCGAACAGG
rnacentral:rRNA from 1 species